rnacentral:rRNA from 1 species
UACAGAGGUGGCAAGCGUUGUUCGGAAUUACUGGGCGUAAAGGGCGCGUAGGCGGUCUUUUAAGUUCCGUGUGAAAUCCCUCGGCUCAACUGGGGAACGGCACGGGAAACUGGAAGGCUUGAGUUCGGGAGAGGGAAGCGGAAUUCCGGGUGUAGCGGUGAAAUGCGUAGAUAUCCGGAGGAACACCGGUGGCGAAGGCGGGCUUCCUGGACCGACACUGACGCUGAGGCGCGAAAGCUAGGGGAGCAAACGGG